rnacentral:rRNA from 1 species
UACGGAGGGAGCUAGCGUUGUUCGGAAUUACUGGGCGUAAAGCGCACGUAGGCGGCUUUGUAAGUUAGAGGUGAAAGCCCGGGGCUCAACUCCGGAACUGCCUUUAAGACUGCAUCGCUUGAAUCCGGGAGAGAUGAGUGGAAUUCCGAGUGUAGAGGUGAAAUUCGUAGAUAUUCGGAAGAACACCAGUGGCGAAGGCGGCUCACUGGACCGGUAUUGACGCUGAGGUGCGAAAGCGUGGGGAGCAAACAGG